AGGGGCGCCGGUGCCUGCGGAGAGAUGGAGAACAGUGAGGCUGAGCCUGGAAAGACAGGGAUAGACACAGAGCUGCAGAUUAUGAGACAAAGAACUGGUUGCAGAGAGGACUGUUCAAGUCACUGGAAAACAGAGAAGACCCUGCCCUCCAGGAGAUUGAAACCACCUCUUCCUAAACACCCUUCCCUGACAGUCCAAGUUGAAGCAGGUGACUGCACCACUGGGUACUCUGAGCUUUUUCUGGACCCAGCAGGAACCCUGGCACACGGCCUUCCUUCGCCUCUACAGUGAUAUCUUCCUUCAGCCCCUUCCUUUCCCAUGUGAUCCCACUUGGCAGCCAACCCAGCCUAAGGCCGUCUUAUCCAAGGCCUGCCCCUCAGAGGCUCCGCCCAUCUCAGUCCCAGCAGGCCUGAUCUAGGAACCUGUAUUCACUCACUCUGCAGGUGUCGCCCCCUUCUAUGCUCCACCCACAUAGGCCCUGCUCAAUAGCCACCUCAACCUACUUGGCAGAGCUGCCUCCUACCACAGAGACCCAUGCUCACUACAUGCCACCACUCCUCGCGGGACCCAACAGUUUUUGCGCCAGACCACGCUUUUCCACAAGCCCCGCCCCACCACAGGCCCCGCCCAUCUGCUCUGCAUCGCUCCCAAGAACAUUUUCCGUGCUUACUCUUCCGGCUCCUAGGUCUCCAAUUCCUUUUUCUUUUUCUGGAGGACAGUUUUUUUGUUUGUUUGUUUGUUUGUUUUUUCGAGACAAAGUCUCGCUCUGUCCCCCAGGCUGUGGAGUUCAGUGGCGCGAUCUUGGCUCACUGCAGCCUCUGCCUCCUGGGUUCAAAUUAUUCUCAUGUCUCGGCCUCCCGAGUAGCUGGGAUUACAGGCAUGCGUCACCACGCUCGGCUAGUUUUUGUAUUUUUAGAAGAGACAGGGUUUCACCAUGUUGGCCAGACUGGUCUCGAACUCCCAACCUCAGGUGAUCCGCCCGCCUCAGCCUCUCAAAGUGCUGGGAUUACAGGCGUGAGCCACCACGCCCGGCCAGGACUAGUUCUUUGAUUCAAAAAGACCCUUGUCAAUAUUCAGUAUCAAAACAGUUGCACUAUUGAUUUCUCUUUCUCCUAAUUGGCCCCAAGAGACCACAUCAAAGGAGAGUACAUUUUAAGCCAUUAAGCUGCAGGAUGUACACCUAACAGACCUCGCAGAAACCUUACCAGAAAGUGGGGAUUGGUUAGAGAAAGGAACUUUCAAAGAUCAGCAAAUUGCUAGUGUCCUCCAACCUACCACACAGGGCGAAUCCCUUAGGCCCCUGCGGACUCCUGCCCAUUCCACUGGACUCCACAAACGCUCCUCAGGAUCUACUACUCCGCAGACCCCGCUACACACCCCACCUCCUCCAAGGCAGUCUGAAAUGCCUGCAGAAGGCCCUAACCCCAAUUCGGAGCCACUUCAGGCCACUCCAAGCCACCACCAGCAACCAGCCCCCGUCCCGCCUAAGCCCCAAGCUUGGCCCCUGUAAAACUCCUGCUCAAUCAACAAGCCCCACCCAACUCUCAGGCCCGCCCAUCUGGCCGCCCCCGGCCCUGCUCUAGCUCUGCCUAGAGUCCAACACGCACCGUCCAGUCCCCUCCCGCGGGCCCCGCCCCCAGCCAGCCCGCUAGUCCCACAAGCC